rnacentral:lncRNA from 1 species
CUGCAGUGAACAUACGCAUGCAUGUAUCUUUAUAAUAGAAUAAUUUCUAUUCCUUUGGGUAUAUACUCAGUAAUGGGAUUGCUGGGUCAAAUGGUAUCUCUGGUUCUAGUUCUUGGAGGAAUUGCCACACUGUCUUCCACAAUGGUUGAACUGAUUUACAUUCCCACCAACAGUGUAAAAGCAUUCCUGUUUCUCCACAGCCUUGCCAGCAUCUGUUGUUUCUUGACUUUUUAAUAAUCGCCAUUCUGACUGGCGUGAGAUGGUAUCUCAUUGUGGUUUUGAUUUGCAUGUCUCUAAUGCUCAGUGAUGAGAGUUUUAAGAAGAUGGAGUAUGAGAGUUCAACACUGUAUUUGGCCAGAUGGAAGCCGUAGGAAACCUUAAGCAGAGUAGUCUUCAAAAUCUUGAAUGAAGUGGAUGGAGGUGGGGAUAGAGAAUGUGCAGUGAGCAAAUAAAGAGAGAAUUUACACAAUUCUUUGGACUCAUUGUGAUGUAAUAUAAAGAGAGCAGAAAAAAAGAGCAGCAGUUGGAAAUGAUGUAGAAUCUGGGGAGAGACCUUUUAAAGAAAGGUGAUAUCAAGGCUUGUUUGUGGACUGAGAAUGAUGUGUGAUCUUGGAAGUCAGCUUGAGAAUGGAGCAGUCAAGACACAAAUUGGUUGGCAGGUCAUGAUCAGCAUGAGAGGAAUCUCUAUCCUGCUUCCAGGCUAUCCUUGGCACUGUGAUUUUUAAUAAAAUAAUGCACUGACUUUGCAUUCAAAGAAAUUACUGGACAGUCAAAAUAUACACACAUAUGCAAAAAUUGAGGAGCAAUUUCCCAUAAGAUACAAACCUUGGAAAUCAAGAAAGUUCUGGAAUGAUGAAGCUGUUCAUGCCAAGACCGAAAGUGCUGGCCCAGUAUGAGUCCAUUCAGUUCAUGCCGUGACAAUUUUCUUGGAACUCCUUUUUAUUGCUUGUGCUCCUGGUACAUCAGCCCAUUUCAUGGUACGUUGAAGCAUGCCUCCCUGUGGGAUUGCUGGAUUCCCAGCCCAGUGAGGUAAUGACCAAGCAGCGUCUUCAGAGGAAGGAUAGCUGUACAGCGUGGUGAAGGACUCAAUGAGAAGGUGCAUUGCCCAUCCUUCAGAGAGCUCUGUGUGAAUCCAUAAAAGGUGCUUAAAGCUUUUCACUCCAUGAAGCCUCAUCUGUCUCAUGAAAGCAAUAAAUAAGCUUCUCCAGCACCAGCCUUCCCCCAAACCAGAACAAGAGCAUUGAUCUACACCCAAGAGGAGCAGGAAUCAGCAGAAACACAAUGGAACAAACUGAUAUGCCAUCUAGUGGAAACACAGAAAGCCUCAAAUGAAAAUCUCAGCCAAAAUGAGGCCACUCAACCAGUGUCCAGUGAAUCAAGUUUCUGACAAAAGUCAGCUAAAUCAAACACCUCUGUGUUUCACCCUUUUUGAUGGCAACGCCUUAAAUGUGACUGCUGCUCAGAAAGCCAAGUAAAGAAAAUAUAAUGGGGCUGCUAUUGGCUCAUUCCGAAUCAGGCAUUUUCUCUCAGGUCAGCAUUUGGGAUCAGAAUUUUGAUUACAUAAUAUUGUCGAAGGCAACAGAAAAGGACCAUUGACUCACAGGGUGUUACAGCUGAUAAAGGACUUCAGAAUUAAUCAACAAACAUUGAGGCAACAUUAACUAAAGCUGACUUCAAAAGAGCUGAGGACACACAGAGGAAUAGCGUGACCCA